AUUGAACGCUGGCGGCAUGCCUUACACAUGCAAGUCGAACGGUAACAGGUCUUCGGAUGCUGACGAGUGGCGAACGGGUGAGUAAUGCAUCGGAACGUGCCCAGUAGUGGGGGAUAGCCCGGCGAAAGCCGGAUUAAUACCGCAUACGACCUGAGGGUGAAAGGGGGGGAUCCAAGACCUCUCGCUAUUGGAGCGGCCGAUGUCAGAUUAGCUAGUUGGUGGGGUAAAGGCCUACCAAGGCAACGAUCUGUAGUUGGUCUGAGAGGACGACCAGCCACACUGGGACUGAGACACGGCCCAGACUCCUACGGGAGGCAGCAGUGGGGAAUUUUGGACAAUGGGCGCAAGCCUGAUCCAGCAAUGCCGCGUGCAGGAAGAAGGCCUUCGGGUUGUAAACUGCUUUUGUCAGGGAAGAAAUCUUCUGGGUUAAUACCCCGGGAGGAUGACGGUACCUGAAGAAUAAGCACCGGCUAACUACGUGCCAGCAGCCGCGGUAAUACGUAGGGUGCGAGCGUUAAUCGGAAUUACUGGGCGUAAAGCGUGCGCAGGCGGCUUUGCAAGACAGAGGUGAAAUCCCCGGGCUCAACCUGGGAACUGCCUUUGUGACUGCAAGGCUAGAGUACGGCAGAGGGGGAUGGAAUUCCGCGUGUAGCAGUGAAAUGCGUAGAUAUGCGGAGGAACACCAAUGGCGAAGGCAAUCCCCUGGGCCUGUACUGACGCUCAUGCACGAAAGCGUGGGGAGCAAACAGGAUUAGAUACCCUGGUAGUCCACGCCCUAAACGAUGUCAACUGGUUGUUGGACGGCUUGCUGUUCAGUAACGAAGCUAACGCGUGAAGUUGACCGCCUGGGGAGUACGGCCGCAAGGUUGAAACUCAAAGGAAUUGACGGGAACCCGCACAAGCGGUGGAUGAUGUGGUUUAAUUCGAUGCAACGCGAAAAACCUUACCUACCCUUGACAUGCCAGGAAUCUUGCAGAGAUGUGAGAGUGCUCGAAAGAGAACCUGGACACAGGUGCUGCAUGGCCGUCGUCAGCUCGUGUCGUGAGAUGUUGGGUUAAGUCCCGCAACGAGCGCAACCCUUGUCAUCAGUUGCUACGAAAGGGCACUCUGAUGAGACUGCCGGUGACAAACCGGAGGAAGGUGGGGAUGACGUCAGGUCCUCAUGGCCCUUAUGGGUAGGGCUACACACGUCAUACAAUGGCCGGUACAGAGGGCUGCCAACCCGCGAGGGGGAGCCAAUCCCAGAAAACCGGUCGUAGUCCGGAUCGCAGUCUGCAACUCGACUGCGUGAAGUCGGAAUCGCUAGUAAUCGCGGAUCAGCUUGCCGCGGUGAAUACGUUCCCGGGUCUUGUACACACCGCCCGUCACACCAUGGGAGCGGGUUCUGCCAGAAGUAGUUAGCCUAACCGCAAGGAGGGCGAUUACCACGGCAGGGUUCGUGACUGGGGUG
rnacentral:rRNA from 1 species